AAACUUAAUCAAGAUUGUGUGGAAAAUUCUUCAGCGCCAUUAAAACAAAAGGAGGUCUUCAUGACCAUCCCUCCCCUCUAGAAUUUAAAUACAGGUUGCGAUCGUACAUUUUAGGUCGCGAUGACCAUGUACUAAGCUAUCAUGCAAAUGUGAAGGCAACUGAAGACGAAGUCCUAACCAACUUCGAAACAGACGAGACAUUUUUAACUCAGCAGUUAUACAGAGAUGUUAUAGAAAAUGAAGAAAAUACAUUUGAAGAACUCUUAGAUAUUUCCGAAGAACAAGAUGCAACAGAAGUAGAAACCGCUUUAUCAACAUUGAAUGAUAUAGAAUUUGAUGGAUUGGAAAACUUUGGAGGAUACCUUGUAUCGAAAUUAAAACUAUCAGGAUGUGGUGAAAGAACUGAUAAAGAACAGCAAACAAAUUACUCCUAUGUAAACCAAUUAUCUGAGGGUGGGCUGUUUAAACCAAACAAUAGUUUUAUGGCCAUUUUAGAAAAUCUAAACCAAAUAUUUGUAAAGUACAAUAGCGAUAAAUUAAAUACUAACCCGCAUUAUUUGAGCAAUCUCUUAAAACUUUCGAAGCAUGUACAAAUUGAUGAACACGUAAAAAAACGAUUUUU